rnacentral:rRNA from 1 species
UUUGACCUCAAAUCCAGGUAGGA